rnacentral:piRNA from 1 species
UUUUUUAUUUCAGCUGGAUGUACACUC